AAUUAGAAGAUCAACCCAACAGCCCAAGGCCCACAAUUUGAAUUUUUCUCUAGAGGGAAAAGAAACCAAAGUCACGAACCCCUACACUUUCGGCCGAAAAGAAAAAGAAGGCUACCUCGCGAAUCAGAAUCGCUAGUAUCAGUAUGUACUGAAAUCUCAACGACACAAAUGUCCGAAGAAAAUGUUAAUUUCGCGCCUGUCCCGCACGCCACCAAUCAGACUCCGCAGCUACUAACACCUCGGAUUUCUCAGAAUUUCAGAGCCGCCAAGCCUUUCCUCUAUCGUAAACGGGCUCGCGAUGAUGGCUAUCUUUACCGUCAUUCCCCUUCAGGACAUAGUGAUGGAAUUGAAAGCAAAUUGUCAGCUUCAGAUACUGGCAUCAAAAGAGUUCCUCUUAUGGAGAUGCCUACCAACAUACCAUCCCCCUUUUCUACCACUGGAUACAAGUCAAUAAAAAGUCAACAUGGUGAGUUUUCGAAUGUCAGAUCGGUGGCUGGUUCUAUGGACACUGGAUGCUUGUCUGAUCCUUUUAUAACCCCUAUAAAACAACCACAUGCCUCUAAUUUAAGUGAUUCGUUCUUGACACCUAGCCUUCUAGAUGAGGAUUUUGAUGAAUCUAUUUUAGAAGAAAUUGAUGCAAUUUGUGAGAAGCAGUCUGCAGGAAAAACAGAAAGGGAGGAUCUAAAUGUCAAAGUUGACAUGGGAGGUCAGCAAAAUGAUAAUGAUAUUUGUAAUGAUCAUAUUGCUCUUUCGGCUCUUACUACAAAUGAGAAUGUAAGAGCAGAAAGUGCAGUUGAUAUCAGGAAUUAUUUUGGGUUAAAAGAGGAGGAUCUAAGUAGUUUGGGGGCUACACAGAGUGGGAAUAUGCCCGAUGAAUAUUCAAAAUACUUGCAAUCUUUGAAUGAUAGACAGCGUGAAGCAGCUUCUAGUGAUAUAUCAAUCCCUUUAAUGAUUGUUGCGGGUCCAGGAAGUGGAAAGACUUCCACAAUGGUUGGGCGUGUUCUGAUGUUGCUUAAUGAGGGUGUUAGUCCAUCAAACAUCUUGGCAAUGACUUUCACUACAGCUGCUGCUUCUGAAAUGAGAGAUCGUAUUGGUGCAGUGGCUGGAAAGGCUAGGGCUAAAGAACUUACAAUCAGCACAUUCCAUUCAUUCUCUUUGCAGCUAUGUCGUUCACAUGCAGAGAAGUUAGAGCGCACAUCAGAGUUUCUAAUAUAUGGACAUGGGCAACAAAGAAGAGCAAUCGUUGAGGCAGUGAGGUUACUAGAUAAUUCAAAAAGUGGAAAAAAGUAUGAUUCUUGCAAGUCCACUGGAAUUGAAAAUUCUAAUGGUAUGAGACAUCCAGGAUAUUUUAAGGAUAGAUCAAAGAAAUGGCAGAAGUUUGUGACUCAGGCAAAAGCUUCCGGAAAGACUCCUGAAGAGUACCGUAAAAUGGGUGAUGAAAUAGGAGCUGAAGUUCUCGGAAAUUAUAAUGACAUAUUAAGAUCGUGCAAUGCUUUAGAUUAUCAUGACCUAAUCAGUUGCUCAGUGAAGCUCCUCACUCAAUAUCCUGAAGUGUUCAAGCAGUGCCAGGAUUCAUGGAAAGCCAUCAUAGUAGAUGAAUUUCAGGAUACCAGUGCAAUGCAAUACGGUCUUCUGCAGAUUCUUGCAUCCCAUCAUCACAUAACAAUUGUUGGUGAUGAUGACCAGUCUAUUUUCAGCUUCAAUGGAGCUGACAUUUCUGGUUUUGAUUCAUUUUGCAAAGAUUUUCCAAACUACAAAGAGAUAAGACUUAUCAGAAACUAUCGAUCCACACGAUGUAUCGUUGAGGCUGCAUCAUGUCUUAUACAAAAUAACACAAAACGAUGUCUGUCAAAGAAUUUUCUUUCAGCAAAUUCCUAUGGCUCCAAGAUCACAAUCAAGGAAUGCUACAAUGAGGAUGCACAAUGUGCCUUUGUUGUUGACAAGAUCUUGGAAACUGCAGCUAACAGUGCAGUUGGUACUUCCUCCUAUGGAAGUAUUGCAAUUCUUUACCGGAGGCAGGUCUCAGGAAAAGUUUUUCAAACUACAUUCCGCAACAGGAAAAUACCAUUUAAUCUUCAUGGUGUGGCUUUUUACAGGAAAAAGGUAGUUAGAGCUAUUAUUGCCAUGCUUAAAACAGCAUUGCCUGCUUGUGAUGAUAGUUCCUAUCGUAAAGUGUUCAAGGCUUUGCUUCCUUUUGAAAAAGAGGAAAAGAAGAGGGUAAUUGACCACAUAGAAAAAAUUAGCACAUGUAGAAAAUGCAGCUUCUUAUCAGCUGCCUGUGACAUCUUUAGCGCAAAGAUUUCUGGUACCUUCAAGAGAAUUCAACUUACACAAGGUCGUAAAGUGCUACUGACAUUGGAAAUGAUAUCAAAACUUGUCCACCGGGAACAAUCAAUUUCAGCUGUCAUAACUUCAGUAUCAAACAUUAUACCUCAGAAAUACCUUCUUGAACAACGUGCUGUCAUAGACGUUGAUGGAGGAAAACUACUCAAUGAGGACAAUGAUGUUAGAUCUGUUCUCCAGUACCUACUUGAUGAUGUUUCUGAUUUCCUGUCUACACACUUUACUGAUAGAGAAGAGAAGAGAGAGAUUGGAAAAGAAAAGGGCUGUGUCAGUUUACUAAAUUCUUUCAUUGACUACAUAACAGAGCGUGAGAGAGAAAAUUUUCGUUCUCGAAGACAUGACAAUGAAAAUUCCGUUACCUUGACUACCAUUCAUCAAUCAAAAGGCUUAGAAUGGGAUAUGGUCUUCAUUGUGAAGGCAAAUGAAACAGAGAUUCCUUUGUCAAAUGAAUUCAACGGCACUGCUACUGAAAAUGGGACAUUAGUUGAGGAGGAACGACGCCUUUUAUAUGUCGCAAUGACCCGUGCUCGUCAAAAGCUUUUCAUUCUCUAUGUUACAAUGGAUUCGAAUUGGCAGAUGCUUCAACCUUCACGGUUUCUUAAAGAAAUUCCAGAUCAUCUUCGAGAAAGUCAGGCUGACGCAAGCAUGAAUGAUUUAAAAACCACACAUCAAGUCAUUCCAAAUGAAACUGCACAGUUUACCACUGAUCUGCCAAGCGAAAAGCAAUCACGCGAAGCAGACAUGGUGCAAAACAAUUUCCUUGAUGCUCAAAGUAGUGCAGCCUCAAAAGAGCCUAUAGAAUCAGUUGAGGCAUGCAACGGAAGUAGUUUUUUAAGAAGGUUCAGUGUGGAGGAGAGAUCAAUUGUUUCCCACUUAUUCCAUCAAUGGGCCAAGAAGCAAGCCUUUCAAGAGCCUAGGAGGUUGCUUGACAAGGUUCGCUUUGUAAUCGAUGAGCGUCUGAGAGUCAAAAAUUAUAAGCACAAGGAAGUUCUGCAUGCAUUAAGGCCAUGUUUGAGCUGUGAGGAAGCAUUUCACUACGCAGAAUAUGUAGUGAAGUGGGAGCAAAUUCCUGCUGAUAGACGUGCUCACUUGAUGCGGGAGAAACAGGAGCAUUUCCAGAAACUAAGGAUGGAGAAUUCGAUGGGUUCAUCAGCGGCAACAUCGAAACAGAUUGCCUAUCUGCAAAGUUUGGGCUGCACUGUCAUUCCUACUUCAAGACUGCAUGCUUCUCGUCUGAUUGAACAGUACAAAUCGCUGUGACUUCACAACAAAAACACCCAGAUCCAGUUACAUGGAUGGUAUAUUUUUCCAAUAACCAGAUGUGAACAAGAAGAAUGAGAGAGUAACAAUGCACCUCUAAUCAAGUGGGUAAACCCUCUUACGAUUAAUGUCGUUGAAGAAAUCAGCUGGCAGAAUCGAACCUAUGACUUCAUCGCCAUCACUGAGCGAAGCAAUCUCUUUAUUUUCACUUCAAUUUUAGAACUAAGGAAAAUUUUGGGCAAUUCAUUAUUGAGUGAUGCUAAAAUCAUAGCUUGUGAAUCUGCUUAACUAUGAGUUGGAUUUGAAAGAAUGCUAAUUUUUUUAAUUAAGAAUCGCGUGAUGAAAUUGGAAAAAAAUCUUAGGACAACUUCCUACAGAGCUUUUUAAUUAAAGGCUAUGGAUGAGAAUAACAUUUCCUUUCUGAUAAUGACUGAUUUUACAUAAAUGGAGGACUACUCUUCGAUGGAAUAUGAUACCAGAUUAGCACUCGAAUUAACAUGUCAUAUUGUGGUUUGAUUUCCCUUUGGCUAUCGACAAGUUUGAUGUUCUUAG